UGAUCUAGUCAAAGCCUGACAGU
rnacentral:miRNA from 1 species